rnacentral:rRNA from 1 species
AACGGGUGCGGAACACGUACGCAACCUACCCUGAACAGGGGCAUAGCCCGGGGAAACCCGGAUUAAUACCCCGUACGAUACUGGUGGUGGCAUCACUGUAGUAUCAGAAGCCCUUCACGGGGCGCUUUGGGAUGGGCGUGCGGUGAUUAGGUAGUUGGCGGGGUAAUGGCCCACCAAGCCUACGAUCAGUAACUGGUGUGAGAGCACGACCAGUCACACGGGCACUGAGACACGGGCCCGACUCCUACGGGAGGCAGCAGUAAGGAAUAUUGGGCAAUGGAGGCAACUCCGAACCAGCCAUGCCGCGUGAAGGAUGAAGGUCCUCUGGAUUGUAAACUUCUUUUAUGUGGGAAGAAAUGCAUUCUUUAUAGAGUGUUUGACGGUACCAUAGGAAUAAGCACCGGCUAACUCCGUGCCAGCAGCCGCG